GAUGAACGCUAGCUACAGGCUUAACACAUGCAAGUCGAGGGGAAACGACAUCGAAAGCUUGCUUUUGAUGGGCGUCGACCGGCGCACGGGUGAGUAACGCGUAUCCAACCUGCCCAUCACUUGGGGAUAACCUUGCGAAAGUAAGACUAAUACCCAAUGAUAUCUCUAGAAGACAUCUGAAAGAGAUUAAAGAUUUAUCGGUGAUGGAGGGGGAUGCGUCUGAUUAGCUUGUUGGCGGGGUAACGGCCCACCAAGGCAACGAUCAGUAGGGGUUCUGAGAGGAAGGUCCCCCACAUUGGAACUGAGACACGGUCCAAACUCCUACGGGAGGCAGCAGUGAGGAAUAUUGGUCAAGGGGCGAUAGCCUGAACCAGCCAAGUAGCGUGCAGGAAGACGGCCCUAUGGGUUGUAAACUGCUUUUAUAAGGGAAUAAAGUGAGAGUCGUGACUCUUUUUGUAUGUACCUUAUGAAUAAGGACCGGCUAAUUCCGUG
rnacentral:rRNA from 1 species